AGCUCAGAAUCUUUGAAUCCUUUAACAGGCUGGUGAUAAGCUGUAAAAAUAUUUAGAAAAUUCACUGCAACACCAAGCCAUGACCUUAUUUCCCAGGCAGAAAGAAAUUACCCAUAGCCUGACAUAGGGUACCUGGUUGGAUGUUCAGGUCCGUGUUUUAAAAGGCUUUGAAAACUCAUUUUCAAAAUGAGUAGGGCAUACAAAAUUAAAUUUUUAAAGGUGAAUUACCAGAAUGGAGCAAGGGACAUAGUGGGAUCGUAGCCUCUGGUGUAGUGACCUAACUUAACUAUAAAUCCUUAUAAGGGUUAUAUCCUUAUAUAUCCUUAUAUAUAAAUUGUUAUAAGACCUAACUUAACUAUAAAUGACCUUAACUAUAAAUCAACUGGAUUUAAGUACUAAGAUUACUAAGAUGAUUUCACUUAAAUAUCUAAAUAUCUUUGCUAAUCUAGCUAGGAACUGAGUACUUACUGAAAAUCAAUGGGAAAAUCAAUGUAUGAAUUUGUUCUGGAAAUGCAGCUUGGGUUGAGUGUUAUUGAUCAGACCGUACCUCGGUACUUUGUAAAUUAGCCCAUUUCUGCUCAGGAUAACGCAGAGGGGGGGUGGGACCACUUUUUGAGAUGUGGCUGUAGCCACAUCCAUGGGGGUGGUUUCUAGUUCCCAGCAGAGCUUCUCUGAAAACAUUGCAAGUCUGUAACAUGGAGAAGCGUCAACCAGCCCCUUUACUGCCAAACCCCUCCUGUUUGCACAGGGCUGAGCACAGCGUGGCCUCAGCAGAGCCACUAUUGGCAGAGGCCCCAGCAAGCACAGCCUCAAGGGAUCAGCCCACGCAGAUGUUUGCUGAGAACAUGGAUUAUUCCUGAGUUCUCCUUUUAGAGUGGUACCUUAACCUCAUCUCACAGACCUAUGACAAAGAGGAACUCAUUGCUUUUCUCGGAUGAUUCAUUCCAUUGUCUUUGCUGGAAGCUCAGUUUCUUUCCUUUUUUCUCAGUAUCUCCUGUUAGCCGUGUCCCACGCACCAGGGAUAAGUGAUCUCUGUCAUCUGUCUAGAAUCUUCCAAGAAUCUUCUUUUCCCAAAGGAAAGACAACAGCUCUCCUGCAGCCGUUCCUCAGAGGUCAAGCUCUCGGCAUUGCAUAUUUUUCUUGCUGGUGCCAUCCAGACCCUCCGCAAUUUGUGGUUGUUCAGAGAUGAUUUCCAAAACUGAUCAUAACUGAAACCUUAUCAGUCAUCAGUACAAGGGUCACUGUCUGUGACUUACACGCUGUACCUUGCUGAUACACCCUUCCUUUCUGGAAACGUAAGUCAAAAUUGACUCAUAUUCAGACUGUGAGUUACUUUCUAGUAGCAUUGUUCUCCGUCUUCUCUGUCCAGCUCAUCCUCUUUUUCUCUCUGUACACCUGGCACUGGGGCAGCACUAAUUAGAGCAUUUCAGAUUUGGCUGAAGUCCAUCAUGAUGAUUUCAGAUCAUUUUUCCAAUUUUUUUAUGAUCACUUGGAAUUGUAAUCCUUCAAAAGACUCACAGGUUGAAACUGCCUACAAACUUAUUACCAGGUUUUCUGUUCUCACAUCCAGAUCAUACAGGAUACAGCAAGACCCAGGGAAGCUAUCAAUUAAAACAGCCCAUCUCCUUGAUGGGCUGGAGUCUAUUUUUUAGGUAAUUAUGUGCCUUUGUGAUUCUUGUCUGGCUCGUCUUUCCUUAAUUUGCUUGUGAGACUGUCAUGUGAUGAAGUGUUGACAGGGUUUUUUUUUUAUACCACUUUUGGCUUCAGUUUCUCCCUUACCCUUGAGCCUGUUGUCUGUUAGAGCAAAGAAUGAUGUCUAUUACCUUGAUGUGAUUUCUUCUUUUCCAAUAGAGAACAGGGACUAUGAUGACUGCUUGCUUUAACUUUUUUCUUUUCUCUUUUAUGCUGCUAAAGUAACUACACAGUCACUGAGCCCAGUAUAUUUUGGUACGCUAAAGCCAGCCUAUAUGCUCAAAAAUUCCCAUUUUACAUGCAGGUGCUGUAUUUGGAUGCAGGACCAUUUGUGCCACAGCAAAAAGAAACAGGAAGCUGAGAAAAUGAAGUUUGGUAGGGGCUGUGAUGCAGCAGCCAUUAGAAGAAAACAAACUGAGAGUUAAGCUUUGGUCUCAACCAGAGCUGUUACUAUACGCAAUUGUGGCUGGUCUGGUUGGCUUGUGCUGAGACUGAGGUAGUUUGCCACCAUUGCAGUGCAGAGGCUGAGGUUGCCCUGACGUAACAGUAUGCGCUCACUCUCCAGUUUGCCAGUCCUCCCCUCCACCCUGGGCUCUGCAGUGCGAGCUGUGGCCCCCAGCUGCUCCCAAUCCGCUUAAAGAAAGAGUUGCCCACCAAUGUUUGAUGUAACUUGGCCCUGACAGAGCUGCUUCUGCCUCACUAUUCACAGUGCUGACUGAGCUGUGCUAUGAAAUGAGAGCUGUGAUAAGAGAGAAUUGCAUUUAGGGCAUGCUUCAAUAAGAAAGCAGUGCAUUGUGCAUUGGACACCACACCCUUAAAAUAGCUUAAAAUACCAUUAUCAGGACAGUUUUCCCAGACAGGAGUACCACUUAAGCUCUCUGCUAUACUUCUUCAUUCUGCCUUUCUGCUCAGUGCAUAUGAGUAUUGCUCGGGAACUGAUUUGCAGAGAGGGGCUCGGAAGGGACGCAGCUGCAUGGUGCCUGGUCUGGAGCAUCCCCAGGAAGACCUCAAGCUAUCCCAUUGCCUGUGCAGGGCUGUAACUGCCCUGCUUCUCUGCUGCUUGCCAAAGAGAGGUUCACAUCAGUUAAAUACCUGGCAGAUCCUUGCUCUGACGGCUCCCUGUAAAGUGGCUCUGCAGAGGCAGCGAAGGCCCAGGGGUUGCGUAUUGCCCUGAUGCAGUUCUGAGAGAGGGCUGCACUGCCUCAACAGCUCCUGGGCAUCGCCGGGGGCAAUCCCAGAGCCUCUCCCUCAUCCUAACACUCCAAACAGGGGCUGGGCAAACAGUCCUUCUAAUCCCCAGAGCAGCCUGUUUCCCACAUGAGUAACUCUUCGGCAUGCAUGGUGUCUGACAUUUCUCGGACAUAGCCCCUGCGGCUGAGCCAGGGGCAGGAUACUGCAUGGCCACAUUCCAAUGACUGGAUCUCAGACCUAAAGAGAAGUUGUCACCUCUACGUUGUUCCUUUAUGAUCCAAGGGCUGACAGCUGCUCAAAGCUUGCUGAGCAUCACCCAAGGGUCAAGCAACUCACGGGCAGGAGGCAAACCCUGCACCUGAAAACAACACCGAGAGCUGAGGAAAGUUGCUGAUAAGUGCAUGAAGCAUCAGGAAACUGAAGUGUUUUUGCAAGGUUUAGGAUAAAGCAAUGAAGCUGAGUGGUUUUCAGGAAGGCAGAGAAGAGCAUACAAGCAGGCAGGUUAAACUAGGGUAUUAUGAAGUGUCCUUAUUUGUAGUGGGGAAGGCCACUGUCAGACUUGAGACUGUAUGUUAAGGUGGUAGAAGAGGAAACUGUGCAGGGGUACAAUAUCUUGUAAUCAUAGAAUCAUAGAAUCAUUAAGGUUGGAAGAGACCUCUAAGAUCAUCUAUCCUGUCAACCCAACCCCACCAUGCCCACUAACCACAUCCCUCGGUGCUGCAUCCACACGGUUCUUGAACACCUCCAGGGAUGGUGACUCCACCACCUCCCUGGGCAGCCUGUGCCACUGCAUCACCGCUUUUUCUGAGAAGAAAUUUUUCCUAAUAUUCGUACUGAAUCCUUACACUUUACCCAAUUAUAAAGAGCGACUUUGCCCCAACAAAUAAGGGAAAGGUAUUAAUCUCAUGAUAUGCAGCUUUUCCUCCAGGCAACCAAUGUUUCUCACUCUGUGAUCACUAAGGAGGCAGCAAGUGGUCUCACUUCAUUUUCAAACAGCCAUGUGUCCACACAUCAGCCUCGGCAGCAUUGUUCAGAUCAUGGAAGAACAUAAGUCCAAAGUCUACAAUUCCUGCUGAUCCACAACUGAUAAAGGCUGCAUAUGGUAAUUUGUAGCAAUUAAGAUCUCAAAGAUAGGAGAGCAGCAGAAGCUGAUGGAGGGAUAAUGCCAGAACAAAGCGAAGCUCGUGCCAUUUCUCAAAAAUUAAAUGUUUUCUGUUUAGCUAUUGCUGAAGCAAAUAUGAUUCUCUGACAGCUUCAAGUUGUCAUCUCUAUGGAAAAAGGAAAAAGAGCGGGAAGAAAGAGAUGUGACUAGCAAAACCAGACUUUUUUUUUAUGAUCCUGAGCUAAAUCCAGUUCCCACUGAAGCUGCUGAAUUUGCUGAGAGCAAGGUUGAAGCCGUACUAUAAAGCUGUAAUUCCUCCACAUCGUUCUGGGCAGAAUUGCCAUCAAUCCAGCCACAGAAUAUCCAGCUGUAAAUGCAAAUGCGUUAUGACAUCAAUACCGUCUCACAAGUAAGCAGAACGGAAUGGCAGCAUCCUUCCUGAAAUGUUGACUCACGGGGAAUGUGGAGCCGGUGAUAAACGUUGCAGAUCUUCAAACAGAACUUCUCUGUUUUUGCUGCUCUGUUUAAUUGAAUUUUCUUCUCUCUCUUUUCUCAAAGGCAGCUCCUGAAAAUAAAACAGCUCUGUCUCGAGCACACCAUGUUCCUUUGCUGAAAUUCAUUGGCUCAGCACAAACACAACUGACUCAUUGUAUUAGGAAGUAUUUUACUGUAUAUUCUGUCUCUUGUUUCUUACUUUCCUGUUAUUCUCAGGUCUUUUGAUGGCAGGUGGUUUAGAGAAAAAAAGCAGAAAUUACAAAUGGUGAAAGUUACAUAAAACAUCUGGCCAGGUCCUCAACAGAUAUAAAUUGUCUUUGUAACAUUUGCAGGUGCUGGAAAACAGGCUUUACCAAAUCAAAGCACUCUUUGUUUUCUAAUAGGUUUCUGCUACACAGAGAGACUGGAAAAGAGAUUUAUUUCCGCUGUAGCAGCAUGCCCUUGAUUAACCUCAUUUGCAGCAGCUAUUUCAAUUAAAGAGCUAACACCAACACUGACUUCUAAGCGUUGCUAAGUGUGAUACCUGUCUGCUCAUGUAUCAUUGACUUCUUUCAAGCCAUUUUCUGUCACUGCAGAAGCAAGCAAGAUGUAUGCUGUGCAUGAAUCCCACAUCAUCAUUAGCAGAAAAUUACACCAAACUGCUGUAAAGUAAUUACACUGCCGAGAGGUGAGCCGGGAGGAAGGCAGUGAUUAAAUACGUGCCACCAGUGCUAAGCCCACACCACACAGUGUUUUGCUCAGAGGCUUUCAAUCUAUUUUCCAAUUGCUGGCCAGUGCCACAGUCUGAACCACACCUUCACUCAGGUCAUGGAAUUAUGCUCAGCCCUUUGUCAUACUAAAUUAAUUUUAUUCCGGUCUCAUACAGCAGAAUACAGAACAAUGGUAGUUUUUAUACAGUAACUUGGGGUUGCUCUUGCACCACUCAGCUCUUCAUACCGAAAUCUUUCACAGUCUCUUGCAGAGGUGCUGCUGCUACAGCAAUCCAUUUUGAUCGCACUGCAGCAUAGCUAUCUGUCAUAUAAAGAAUGUGAACAGUGCAAAGGUUUGGAAAUGAUGCGAUCGGAAUUACCAACAUAAAACUCUGACUGAGAGAAAGACCUGGGAGCAAGGACUGAGGAAGCAAUAAGAAAACUGUACUCUGUAUCUUCCCUCCAAAUGAUCACAAACAAUGGCAAGCUUAACCUUUGAUGUGCCUGUGAGAAAUAUAUCUGUGUUGUUGAAUGCUAUUUGAAGCAACGAGAUGUUAUCAUCAAUAACCGAGAAGCGAGCAGUGCACCCUCCAGAACAUGGAGAAGUCACAUUCCUUAUCCAGAGAGGCCCACCACUAGGACACAAAAGGAGACCAUGUGAGGCAAAUGAAAGCUAGCACUCCUGGAGAGGACUGAAAGCCAUGGCAUAUUAUAAGACUCAUUAUAAGGUAAGCUGCCUGUGAUUUAAAGAGAUUUUCAUCCUUAUUAAUAUAAAUGAUUCAUUGUGAGGAGCUGAAGUAAGCAUUAUUAACCCUCAUCUAAUGGCUGGAGUUACAGAAUUAUGCACUGAAACACAUUCGGGUAACUACAGGUGCAGAUGUGUUUGUAUAUUCAUAAAUAUCUUGUGUAUAUUUAUGCAAGAUCUUGGGACUCAUACAGAGCUCUGAGAAAGUUGUUUUCUUUGUUCUUUGCUUCCGAAAGGAACUCAUAAAACAAAAUCCUGGUCCGUGGGUAGCAUUCUUACAUGAUAUUGUAGUAUAAAAAAUUAGAAUAAUGGUUUAGUAUGGAAGCCUGCAAUCAGAAGCAAUAGAAUAAAAAAAUGUAGCUUUAUAGACUAUUUUAUUUCUUCUUUCUAAGUUAGACAGGAAUUAUUCUAUUUUAUUUUUUUUUUUAAAUAGCAUAUUCUUCUUUAUGGGAUGAAAGACAACAGUUAAAAAAAACAAACAUGCUAUAAUAGCAUCCAAUUUCUCCAGCAAACAGGGCAUAUAAAAGACUUAAAUAAAUCAGCUUAUGCUUCUGAAUGAUUCAAAGAAUAACAGAAAUGCAAAAAACCCUGCAUUCCAACACUCUUAGAGAGCUUCAGUGAAUAAAUAAUCUGCUUCCUCCACUAAUGCUAUGAAGCUAUUGUUUGGUGUCUCUGUAGGAAAUAGUUUAAUCUACUCAUAAGCUUAAAAGUUAAUCUUUCCAAUAGAACGCAUACUCAUUCAUCAGGAAUUAGGCAUUACACCUCUACAGAGGUAACAUGAAUUUUUGAGACAAAGUACAGAAUGUCUAAAAACAAAGAGGUCUGUUUUCUACUCAGUGCUCGAGAAAGAUACGUGAGUUAUGCUGCUUGUGGGAGUCAUCCCCAUAAACUCCUUUUGUAGCUUUGAUAGACCAUCAGAGUCAGAUUACCUCUUUUUUUUUUCCCCUCUUCAGCUCUACACUCUUGUUUUUAUUGGCUAGAGAAUGCAAUAUUGAGUAGAAAGUGAACUGCUUUGUAUCACAUGGUAUUUUGCACAAGUAAUGCUCAGCUACUAUAGCGACUGGCAUUCCAAAAAGUGCUGGUAUGACAGCAAUGUGAGUAUAAGACUAUUUAAGUCAAGCUGGGACACAGCCAGUUCUUUUCAUGAAUAGUUCACGUGCCCUUCUCAUAGAAACGUUUACUUCAACAUUAAAUCUGAAAACUUGUACUUGACAAACACUAAAGUGAGCCUGUGGUCACUAACCUUGGUAUAGAAGUUCACAUGGCAUGCAGUGAACAUGAAAUAACAUAAAUCCAACCCCCAAAAGCUGGAAUUCUGUCAUCUAGGGAAGAAGGCUCUCUCACUGGGAAGUGCAGCAACUGGAUGACAGCAGUGUUUCUGCUAUGCACAUGACAAAAAAUUACAGCCCCAGCUCCAGGAAAGGGCUAGCUUUCACCUAAAGCUCCAGUGUUAAGAGAAACUCUUUCUAAAGUUAGAAUCCCAAACCUCACAUACAAUGAAUUCCAUGGAACUGUUACAAAUCAUACUAGCCAUAAAUGCCUGAAAGAGUACUAACCCCUUGGUGUUUUAACUACUUAGAUUAGACUGUCCCUAAAGAGGCAGAGAGCUCAUUCGUGGCCAGAGAAAAAUCAUCCUCAGUCAGCAGGGAAGGAGAGGCUGCAGGAUUAGCAACUGUACCUGAUG